rnacentral:rRNA from 1 species
GACGUAGGGUGCGAGCGUUGUCCGGAUUUAUUGGGCGUAAAGAGCUCGUAGGUGGUUUGUCGCGUUGUUCGUGAAAACUCACAGCUCAACUGUGGGCGUGCGGGCGAUACGGGCAGACUUGAGUACUGCAGGGGAGACUGGAAUUCCUGGUGUAGCGGUGGAAUGCGCAGAUAUCAGGAGGAACACCGGUGGCGAAGGCGGGUCUCUGGGCAGUAACUGACGCUGAGGAGCGAAAGCGUGGGGAGCGAACAGG